rnacentral:rRNA from 1 species
UACGGGGGGGCGAAGCGUUGUUCGGAAUUACUGGGUGUAAAGGGCUCGUAGGCGGCCAACUAAGUCAGACGUGAAAUCCCUCGGCUUAACCGGGGAACUGCGUCUGAUACUGGAUGGCUUGAGUUUGGGAGAGGGAUGCGGAAUUCCAGGUGUAGCGGUGAAAUGCGUAGAUAUCUGGAGGAACACCGGUGGCGAAGGCGGCAUCCUGGACCAACACUGACGCUGAGGAGCGAAAGCCAGGGGAGCAAACGGG